CGGCGCAGGUUCAGACGACAAAAAGGCGUCGACGGCACGUUUGGAGUUCUUUGGAGUUUGGUGGCCAAUUUAUGUGAAGUAAAAUUUGGUCCAUGCAGAAAGAAAGAUUGUCAGCCUUUCAGAGAGCGGACUCAAGUUGAAUUCAAAAUGGAAGACCCAUUGAAUAACUCUGUAUACAUCAGGAUCGGCUUUUGAAUUCAUUGGCAGCCUUGACGACUUUAUGCAUUUUCCUUGCCAUAAGUUCUGGUGUGUGUGAAUCAGCAUCUUUGGUCGCCUGUGGAGAUUUGAGAGAGAUGGAACUUUUCCUUUUCCUUAUGCUAGAGGCUGAUAAGGCGGUGAUGUGAGGUGUAGUGGCUAGAGCGUCAAUGCUUUGGGAAAAAGGCAAUGAUGCUCUGGUUUCGAUCCCCUGCUGAACCCGUCAUAAAACUGUUGGCCUGCGCCUUGAGGCUGCGGCAUAACACUAAAAAUGUUAUUAGACAGGAUCCUUGAUUGCUUUCAAGGAUAUGACGUUAAAUUCGCGUCAUUAGAACUUUACUUGGAUAGUGCGCGUUACAAAUAAAUCAAAAAUCAAUCAAAAAUCGAUAACCAAGAAAUUUUUGACAUGGUUCUCCGCCUCACUGCUUAUCAUUAUCCUGAAAAUAUCGUCUUGCCACAAGGAUAUACUCCUCCAAAUCUGGCAGUUAGCAAACUUUACUGGAAGGCUUGGUUGAUGCUAUUGAUGCUGAUUGCUCAUAAUCCUGGCAGUCUUGGGUCUGAGGCAUGGAAUUCAUUCCCUCCUAUACUCCGAGCAUUGAUGGAGAUGUGUAUCACAAAUGAUUUCGCUACUUUUUCUGGUACCACAGACCAGACAGAGUUGCAGGUGGCUGCAAUUGAAAAGCAAACCAUCUUGGAAUUCGAAACAGAUCUAGGAGCCGCCUCUACAAAAACUGUUAUUACCGAAAACAAUUCUUUGCUGCUUAGUCAAUUGACAUCACUUGAUCCACGAGGAUCUACGCGACGACCUCCUCCGGCUGUUAUUGAGCAGCUUCGAACUUUGAACGCAACACUUCGACUGGGUCACCUACUUUGUAGAAGUCGCCAACCGAACUUUUUAUUGUAAAUUCUGCAUAGGCAAGGAGCUGCGCAAACGAAGCCAUGGCUGGCUGAUUUGGUCGAGUCCAAUGAAGGUGCUUGGAACGUUCUGCCUGUUCAAUGUCUUUCUUGGCAAACGCAAGGAACGUCGUCACAAACACCAACAGUUGGUCCAGCAUCUAAGACUUUUGUUGACUGAUCCCAAUCAACUACCCGAAGCAUGCCGUGAAGUCCUAGACUAUUUGAUGAGACGAUUGAGUGCUCAGAAAACUCUCGCCCGUCACCAAGCCCUCACGGCAUUGAGUGUGGUCUUGGCAGUAAAAGACGAUGAUAUUACCAUGAGUGAUGGUGCAUGCUCCGAAGGAACAGGAGACGAUUCCCAGUUCUCUUGGCUUGUUCAUCAGUUACCUACCAUCCCACAUUUCGAAGCCGUACGCCCUGCCGUGAUUGCUGCUCUACGGGCCGCCUUUCUAAUUGAAACACAACCACUAGCCAUGUGUAUGCGUCAUCGUAAACAUCCGAUUCCGAUAUUUCCUUAUUUUUCAUAAUUUUUCCGUGCUUUCCCCUUUUUUCCUCAUUUUUAUCCAAAAUUUUCCAAUAUUUCCUAAUUUUCUUGGAGCAGGACGCAAGUCCUGACUAGUGACGUUUUUUUUAAUACAUAGCCAUCUAGCGCUCA